CUUAACACUCGAUGGAUUCAUUCUGGCAGAGGAGGAAUUAUCUAUAAAAGUAAAGCGUCUCUUCAAAGGCUUUUGAGGCUCAACUUAAUUUAUUGCCACAAUCCAUCGAACAACAUCCAUCAGGUUUGAUAGCACGGCGGCUCCCCAGGCUCCUGUGUGAUCUGAGCGAUGAGAACCACUAAUGGCAAGCCAAGAAAAAAAGACCCUUUAGUUCAUCUGGAUUUGAUUAGUUAUGUGGCGACGAGUUCAGAUGAUUCUGUGAAUCUAAAGCCUCUGAAUCCAGAGGAGCAGAGUUUCAGGGCAGUGAACUAGAAAAUGACAUUUUAAAAGCAUGUGGCGCCUCUGCAGAGGGCUGUGGCCUUUCCUCAUCGAGGUAAACACCGACGGCGUCCUCCUUCAGGAGACGGAGGAUCGGAGGCGGGACCUCACAGACGACCUCCACGCCGAUAAACCAGCAGCCGCUAAAGUCUCUCAAACCUUAAACAUGCUCUGAUUGGAAGAUUCCACCAACAGAA